AUGACCUCGGAUCAGG
rnacentral:rRNA from 4 species